rnacentral:rRNA from 1 species
AGUGAACGCUGGCGGCAGGCCUAACACAUGCAAGUCGAGCGGCAGCGCGGGGGCAACCCUGGCGGCGAGCGGCGGACGGGUGAGGAAUUCGUCGGAAUCUGCCUUUUUGUGGGGGAUAACGUAGGGAAACUUACGCUAAUACCGCAUACGUCCUACGGGAGAAAGUGGGGGACCGCAAGGCCUCACGCAGAAAGAUGAGCCGACGACCGAUUAGCUAGUUGGUGGGGUAAAGGCCCACCAAGGCGACGAUCGGUAGCUGGUCUGAGAGGAUGAUCAGCCACACUGGGACUGAGACACGGCCCAGACUCCUGCGGGAGGCAGCAGUGGGGAAUAUUGGACAAUGGGCGCAAGCCUGAUCCAGCCAUGCCGCGUGUGUGAAGAAGGCCUUCGGGUUGUAAAGCACUUUUGUCCGGAAAGAAAUCCCUGGAGCUAAUACCUUCGGGGGAUGACGGUACCGGAAGAAUAAGCACCGGCUAACUUCGUG